rnacentral:rRNA from 1 species
AUUGAACGCUGGCGGCAUGCUUUACACAUGCAAGUCGAACGGCAGCGCGGGCUUCGGCCUGGCGGCGAGUGGCGAACGGGUGAGUAAUGCAUCGGAACGUGCCCAGUAGUGGGGGAUAGCCCGGCGAAAGCCGGAUUAAUACCGCAUACGACCUGAGGGUGAACGCGGGGGACCGAAAGGCCUCGCGCUAUUGGAUCGGCCGAUGUCGGAUUAGCUAGUUGGUGGGGUAAAGGCUUACCAAGGCGACGAUCCGUAGCUGGUCUGAGAGGACGACCAGCCACACUGGGACUGAGACACGGCCCAGACUCCUACGGGAGGCAGCAGUGGGGAAUUUUGGACAAUGGGGGCAACCCUGAUCCAGCCAUGCCGCGUGCGGGAAGAAGGCCUUCGGGUUGUAAACCGCUUUUGUUCGGGAAGAAAUCCUCUGGGCUAAUACCCCGGGGGGAUGACGGUACCGGAAGAAUAAGCACCGGCUAACUACGUG